rnacentral:rRNA from 1 species
CCUACGGGAGGCAGCAGUGAGGAAUUUUCGUCAAUGGGCGCGAGCCUGAACCAGCCAAAUAGCGUGAAGGAUGACUGCCCUCGGGGUUUUAAGCUUCUUUUAUAAAGGAGUACAGUGAGGCACGUAUGCCUUUUUGUAUGUACGUUAUGCAUAAGGAACGUCUAACUACAUUCCAGACGCGGCGGUAAUACGGAGGAUCCGAGCGUUAUCCGGAUUUGUUGGGUUUAAGGGGAGCGGAGGUGGGUCGUUAAGUCAGUUGUGAAAGUGUGCGGCUCAACCGUAAAAUUGCAAUGGAUACUGGCAGUCUUGAGUACAGUAGAGGUAGGCGGAAUUCGAGGUGUAGCGAUGAAAUGCUUAGAUAUAUGGAAGAACACCGAUGGCGAAGGCAGCUGACUAAACUGCCACUGACAUUGAUGCUCGAAAGCGUGGGUAGCAAACAGGAUUAGAUACCCGGGUAGUC